UGUGUGAGUUGUGGUACACAGUCUGGCCUGCCCCCUGAUUUUUUAAAGGGCCGCGGUAUUUGAACCGUGCUAAGGUAGCACAAUAAAUAGUCUUUUAAUUGAGGUCUAGUAUGAACGGUCGGACAUGAAGUGAGCUGUCUUAAUUAUAGGGUUUGAAUUUUACUUUUAAGUGAAAAGGCUUAAAUUGGGUGGUGGGACGAUAAGACCCUAUAAAGCUUUACAUUCUAUUUGUAAGUUUAAAAAUUUAUGGUUUUUUGUUCUUUUUUGGUAGAGUGUUCUGUUGGGGCGACGAGAAUAUAAAAUGGUAACUGUUUUUAUAUAAAAAUAUAUUUUUAUAGGAGAGUUGAUCCUUUGUAAAGAUUACAAGAGUUAAGUUACUUUAGGGAUAACAGCGUUAUUUUUCUUGAGAGUUCUUAUCGACAGAAAUAGUUGCGACCUCGAUGUUGAAUUAAGAUUUCUUCAAGGCGUAGCAGUUUUGAUAGUAGGUCUGUUCGACCUUUAAAAUCUU
rnacentral:rRNA from 1 species